rnacentral:lncRNA from 1 species
UGGGGAGGCUUGUGAGCCUCUCCCUACCAGCAACUGUUAACUGUCUACAAAUCCUUGGUUAUGGGCCAGGCAUCAGGAGGGUAGAGCCUUAUGAACCCCACCUCCUAACCAGCUGUUAACUGUUUAUAAAUCGUUGGGGAGGGAGGGGCCUCACGGUCCCCUUUCUACUCAGUGGUGGGAAGUUAAUGGUGGACUUGGGCAGGUCUAUUAAAGGUGACCUCAUCUCAUGAUAGUUCAAGAGGCUGACAGCUGUGCUUUGAGAGGACAGCAUUCCACAGUCUUACCUUUUAAGUUUCAAAAGUUCUCAGUAUACGAGAAUAUGUCAAAUUCUGAAUAUAUUACCAUCAUGUCUAUUUCCACAGAAGUCAGCAAGAUCACACGAUUUAGUAGUACUGAGAAAGAAAACUUGAGGUGAAGAAGUAGGCAUCAGUUUUGGAGGAUGGUAGACCACCACUUUAUUAUUCUGAAAACAUAGAUAACAAGAAAGAAUAAAGACUUUAUCCCUGCUUUUUCCCGUAAAACCUGAUUUCAAGAUCUUUAAAAUACAAGCAUAGCGGUCGUCAAACUUCUCACUGCUAUCUUGAAAGAGAGACUUGCCUGUGAGAACUGAGGAGCGAUCAGAAGAGGAAUUCCUAGCUGUCUUUGUCUGGGUUAUAAAGUCCUGUUGUGAUUGGACGGGAAGUAAAACCAUCAUUUAUUUUCUUCAAGUGUGAUUGGCUAAGAUUCUUU